rnacentral:rRNA from 1 species
AUUGAACGCUGGCGGCAGGCCUAACACAUGCAAGUCGAGCGAGCGGCGGACGGGUGAGUAAUGUCUGGGAAACUGCCUGAUGGAGGGGGAUAACUACUGGAAACGGUAGCUAAUACCGCAUACCAUCAGAUGUGCCCAGAUGGGAUGAGCUAGUAGGUGGGGUAACGGCCCACCUAGGCGACGAUCCCUAGCUGGUCUGAGAGGAUGACCAGCCACUCUGGAACUGAGACACGGUCCAGACUCCUAAGGGAGGCAGCAGUGGGGAAUAUUGCACAAGGGGCGCAAGCCAGAUGCAGCCAUUCCGCGUGUGUGAGGAAGGCCUUCGGGUUGUAAAGCACGUUCAGCGGGGAGGCGUUACCCGCAGAAGAAGCACCGGCUAACUCCGUGCCAGCAGCCGCGGUAAUUC